rnacentral:rRNA from 1 species
AUUGAACGCUGGCGGCAUGCCUUACACAUGCAAGUCGAACGGCAGCACGGAGCUUGCUCUGGUGGCGAGUGGCGAACGGGUGAGUAAUAUAUCGGAACGUACCCUGGAGUGGGGGAUAACGUAGCGAAAGUUACGCUAAUACCGCAUACGGUCCAUGGAUGAAAGCAGGGGACCUUCGGGCCGUGUCCUCCUGGUGCUGCCGAUAUCUGAUUAGCUAGUUGGUGGGGUAAAAGCCUACCAAGGCAUCGAUCAGUAGCUGGUCUGAGAGGACGACCAGCCACACUGGAACUGAGACACGGUCCAGACUCCUACGGGAGGCAGCAGUGGGGAAUUUUGGACAAUGGGCGCAAGCCUGAUCCAGCAAUGCCGCGUGAGUGGAGAAGGCCUUCGGGUUGUAAAGCUCUUUUGUCAGGGAAGAAACGGGGUUGGCUAAUAUCUGGCCCUAAUGACGGUACCUGAAGAAUAAGCACCGGCUAACUACGUGCCAGCCGCCGCGGUAACAC